rnacentral:rRNA from 1 species
UACGUAGGGCGCAAGCGUUGUCCGGAAUUAUUGGGCGUAAAGAGCUCGUAGGCGGUCUGUUACGUCCGCUGUGAAAACCCAGGGCUUAACCCUGGGCUUGCAGUGGAUACGGGCAGACUAGAGGUAGGUAGGGGAGAAUGGAAUUCCCGGUGUAGCGGUGAAAUGCGCAGAUAUCAGGAGGAACACCGGUGGCGAAGGCGGAUCUCUGGGCCAUUACUGACGCUGAGGAGCGAAAGCGUGGGGAGCGAACAGG